UGAAGGCAGAGGCUUUAACCCACUGAGCCACCCAGGUUCUGUGACUACACAGGUACAUUCUGGCUGUACCUGCCAGUACAAUAUUGGGAACGAUGGUAUGUUUCCUUUGACACCAGAUGUGGCCAUGGUCACUGGAGAUCUGCAGAUUUGGAAGAUUUGAAAAUUUGCAACUCUACCCAACCCCUCCCAAGCCCAUUUGACCAGUCCAAAGAAUAACAGUGAAUUGGCCUGGGCUCCACUCAGCUUGUUCACAGAUGUCCUUACGCACAGGAAGCAUCUGACAUGCCCCUGCUAAACCCCUCCACCCACCUACCCCCAUCCAGCCUUAAUACACCUUGCCUGAGUUAGUUCUAAAAGGAGGCACUUUAAAAAAAUAAAAAUUAAAAAAAAAA